rnacentral:rRNA from 1 species
CCUACGGGUGGCAGCAGUGAGGAAUAUUGGUCAAUGGGCGAGAGCCUGAACCAGCCAAGUCGCGUGAGGGAAGACGGUCCUAUGGAUUGUAAACCUCUUUUGCCGGGGAGCAAAAAGCGGUACGCGUACCGCAUCGAGGGUACCCGGAGAAAAAGCAUCGGCUAACUCCGUGCCAGCAGCCGCGGUAAUACGGAGGAUGCGAGCGUUAUCCGGAUUUAGUGGGUUUAAAGGGUGCGCAGGCGGCGUGUUAAGUCAGCGGUAAAAUUUCGGGGCUCAACCCCGACAAGCCUUUGAAACUGGGUGGCUAGAGUGGAGGAGACGUAUGCGGAAUGUGUGGUGUAGCGGUGAAAUGCAUAGAGAUCACACAGAACUCCGAUUGCGAAGGCAGCUUACCGACGCCCAACUGACGCUCAGGCACGAAAGCGUGGGUAUCGAACAGGAUUAGAUACCCGAGUAGUC